GACGAACGCUGGCGGCGUGCUUAACACAUGCAAGUCGAACGGAAAGGCCCUGCUUUUGUGGGGUGCUCGAGUGGCGAACGGGUGAGUAACACGUGAGUAACCUGCCCUUGACUUUGGGAUAACUUCAGGAAACUGGGGCUAAUACCGGAUAGGAGCUCCUGCUGCAUGGUGGGGGUUGGAAAGUUUCGGCGGUUGGGGAUGGACUCGCGGCUUAUCAGCUUGUUGGUGGGGUAGUGGCUUACCAAGGCUUUGACGGGUAGCCGGCCUGGGAGGGGGGCCGGCCACAUUGGGACUACGAGACGGCCCAGACGCCUACGGGAGGCAGCAGUGGGGAAUAUGGCACAAUGGGCGGAAGCCUGAUGCAGCAGCGCCGCGUGCGGGAUGACGGCCUUCGGGUUGUAAACCGCUUUCGCCUGUGACGAAGCGUGAGUGACGGUAAUGGGUAAAGAAGCACCGGCUAACUACGUG
rnacentral:rRNA from 1 species